rnacentral:rRNA from 1 species
ACUCAAAGGAAUUGACGGGGAGGCGCACAAGCAGUGGAGCGUGUGGUUUAAUUCGAUUCAAAGCGAAGAACCUCACCAGGAAUUGACAUGCUAGAGUUCCAUCUCCAGGAAACUGGAGAAAUGCGCAAGCAGGCUAGCACAGAUGCUGCAUGGCCGUCGUCAGCUCGUGGCGUGAGCUGUACCGUUUAGUCGGGUAACGAGCGCAACCCCCACCGUAUGUUAAAUAAUUCAUGCGGAACUGCUCGCAUUUUUGCGAGAGGAAGGCGGGGAUGAUGUCAGGUCAGCACGGCUCUUACGUCCUGGGCAACACACACCCUACAAUGGGCAAAAACAACGAGUUGCAAGCUGGUAACAGUAAGCUAAUCUCUUAAAUUUGUCCUCAGUUCAGAUUGAGGUCUGAAACCCGACCUCAUGAAGGAGGAAUUGCUAGUAAUCGCGAAUCAGCAGGUCGCGGUGAAUACGUUCUCGCCUCUUGUACACACCGCCCGU